GUCACAGUUGGUAUCAGAGCAACAGGUUAUAAGUAUUUGAAAUUAGAAUAUAGAUCAUAGUUAUAGGUUUUCUAGAGAAGAAUGUUGGGUGACCUCGGAUAGAGGUAUUGUGAGACUAUUUAGAAAUAGUCUAGGGAUGUGAUAGAGAAAUAGAAUCUAGUUAGAUGAUUAAGUUGAGUGCAUAAGUUUGGAGAGAUUUUGAUUCCUAAGUUAGACAUAUGAUUUUUGGUAUGUUGACUAAUUGAGAUGAUGAAUUGUGAGAAAGGUCAAGAUUAGACCUAGAUAGAAAAGUUGAUAGUGAAUGAUUGAGUUGAGAAUGGUGAAAAUGCAGAGUUCAGAGUAUUCUGACUAUACUGCAUAGUUGAAAAUGGUCUAUGGUAUUGAUUUGAGAAGGAUAAAGAUGCAUGGUUCAUAGUAUGUUGACCAUGUUAGAUAUUUGGAAGAGGUAUGUUGUUUUUGUGAGAUAUGAAGAGUUAGUGUAAGAUAUGAGUUGCACAGAAUUAGAAGGAGAGACUUGUAUAUAGAGGUUGAUAGAUGAGAAGUGUAUGAUAGAGAGUAAGUGAAGUUGAUUCAGGUUAUUAGAAGCGAUAUUUGCGAGUAAUUUAGAAUGUGAAUUCUCACGACGACGUUUUAAGUUAAGCGGGACAAGGUGGGCCCAUAACCCACAGGGCGACGAUCCAGAAAAUCGAAGAUAUGCUACGUGUGGUGUUAUGGACUUCAAAGGCAACUGGAUGAAGCAUGAGAACGUGAACUACUUGGGUCAGACUUAUUACGAACGAUAACGUCUACGAUGACAUCUUAUGAGGCUAUUACGAGUUAAAUCGAUUGAUUAUCGAGAACGUUGAAAGGAUGACAUAAAUCGAAUAACGAUUUCGUAAAGUAGAGUGGGAAUUUGAGAAGACCUUGGCAAUACCUCUCUUCAACUAAAGGUUCUUUUGAUUGUUUUCUCAUCAGUGAGAUAUUAUCAUGAUAUCUUUUCUACAAAAGUUUUGAUAAAUGAGAUCUUCAAUUUCUCAAAUUCUAAGAUGACAUUGGUAUUGAUUAUUGGUAUGAGUUGGAAAGCAAAGAUGUGUGAUAAAGGUUUGUUGUGAAGAGAUAGUGAUGUUCCUUGAUAUUGUUUGACAUUUCUUGACAUUCCUUGAUACCCUUUCAUCUACCUUGAUAUCCCUUAGUGUUCUUUGAUAUUGUUGAUAUUCAUUGAUAUUCUCUGAUAUUCCUUAACAUUUCUUCAAUUUGGUUGGGAUGAACAACCCUAUUUAUAGGGGACACAAGGUAUACCUGUCUGUGUGAUAGGAGUUGGAUGGGACGCCAUCACUUGUGUGUGUUGUGAUUACAAGAAGGUUAACAACCUUUAGUAGUGUCUAAUGUGGACACGCAACACCAAGUUCGUUGAUCAUAUAGAUCUCUCAGUCACUCCUUUAUUCAAAUGUGAUCUACCUUGAAAACAUUUUGUUCUAUUCAAAAUUCCACAAGAUUGAUUCUUGGGAAAUGAAUUUUGCAAUUGUAAAAGUUUGAUUUUCCUUUUUCAUUAAAGUUAAAGGUAUGCCAAGAUCAACCAAAGGUGAAUGACGAUAUGAUAUUACGAAGCGUGUACGUUUUAGUUUCUUCGGAGGAUUCGAGGACGGAAUCCUUAUAAGGGGGUCAUUCCUGUAAUAUCCCAUAUUAUUAAAUUUAGAUGUGAUUAUUAUAAAUCUAUUUGUCUAGAUAUUAUUGUUGGCUCUAGUUGAAUAUUGAUAUGAUUAUGUGAAUAGUUGUAUGUGAUUAUACUUGUUAUGUGGAUUAAUAUGGAUUUUACAGAUUAUGCAUCCUCCUUCUUUUUCUGAUUCCGAGGACGGAAUCCCUAUAAGGAGGGUAGAUUGUAAUGACCUGGAUUUUUAAAAAUAUUUUUAUUAGUAUUAAAAGUGAUUUUUCUUAAAAAGAAGGGAAUAAGAUUUAAUAUUUUAUUCCAGUUUAAUGAGUUUUCAAGGUUUUAUAUUUAAACCCCGGGUU
rnacentral:lncRNA from 1 species